rnacentral:ncRNA from 1 species
AAUUCAGGGGAGCCCUUUGUGGCUGAGAGGAAGCUAUGCUUCGACCCUUAUACCUGAUGCGGAUAAUGCCGCCGUAGGAAGAUC